UACAGAGGUCUCAAGCGUUGUUCGGAUUCAUUGGGCGUAAAGGGUGCGUAGGCGGCGCGGUAAGUCGGGUGUGAAAUCUCGGGGCUUAACUCCGAAACUGCCCUUGAAACUGCAGUGCUAGAAUCUUGGAGAGGCGAGUGGAAUUCCGAGUGUAGAGGUGAAAUUCGUAGAUAUUCGGAAGAACACCAGUGGCGAAGGCGACUCGCUGGACAAGUAUUGACGCUGAGGUGCGAAAGCGUGGGGAGCAAACAGG
rnacentral:rRNA from 1 species